rnacentral:rRNA from 1 species
CCUACGGGAGGCAGCAGUGGGGAAUAUUGCACAAUGGGGGAAACCCUGAUGCAGCGACGCCGCGUGAGUGAAGAAGUAAUUCGGUAUGUAAAGCUCUAUCAGCAGGGAAGAAAAUGACGGUAUCUGAGUAAGAAGCCCCGGCUAACUACGUGCCAGCAGCCGCGGUAAUACGUAGGGGGCAAGCGGUAUCCGGAUUUACUGGGUGUAACGGGAGCGUGGGCGGUAGAGCAAGUCAGGAGUGAAAGGCGCGGGCUCAACCCCAGGACUGCUCUUGAAACUGGACGGCUAGAGUGCAGGAGAGGUAAGUGGAAUUCCUAGUGUAGCGGUGAAAUGCGUAGAUAUUAGGAGGAACACCAGUGGCGAAGGCGGCUUACUGGACUAUAACUGACGUUGAGGCUCGAAAGCGUGGGGAGCAAACAGGAUUAGAUACCCCAGUAGUC